UGUUUGGCUUCGAAGGCUCGAAGCCUCGAAUCCAUCCAACGAAUGGCAGAACUUGUGGGGAUUGGAGCUAUGGCUCCCGACGUGCUUUACGAGGUGGCCGACAGGAAAUUCCGUGUCCUAUCUGAAGCUGAGUGCCAAGCACUAUAUUUCACUUAGAUGAGGUGGAAUCAUUCAAUUUUUCAUUGGAAUCAAAUGGAAUCAGCAAGAUGAUAAAGAAGUUGAUUCUUGCAUAUGGAAGCUUUACUGAAGUUUUUUUUCCCCAGAUGUUAUUGUGUAAUUAGGUUAAUGUUUUACGGCUUUCUUUUUUCGAUGGUUUUGGAUCCGAAUCUUUUAUGAGGUCGUUUUUCCAAGAUCUGAAAAUUAAAAUUCGUCUCGAAAAUCGAAACCUAAAACUCUUGUAAAUAAAAUCGAAAUCUUUGAAUUGGAAUCGGCGGUAAUUUCUUUCAAAU